rnacentral:rRNA from 1 species
AGGGUUCGAUUCUGGCUCAGGAUGAACGCUAGCUACAGGCUUAACACAUGCAAGUCGAGGGGAAACGAUAUUGAAAGCUUGCUUUCUUUAGGCGUCGACCGGCGAAUGGGUGAGUAACGCGUAUCCAACCUGCCCCUGAGUAAGGGAUAGCCCAUCGAAAGAUGGAUUAAUACCUUAUGGUUUCCUUUGAAGGCAUCGGAUUAGGAAUAAAGAUUUAUCGCUGAGGGAUGGGGAUGCGUCUGAUUAGCUUGUUGGCGGGGUAACGGCCCACCAAGGCGACGAUCAGUAGGGGUUCUGAGAGGAAGGUCCCCCACAUUGGUACUGAGACACGGACCAAACUCCUACGGGAGGCAGCAGUGAGGAAUAUUGGUCAAUGGGCGGAAGCCUGAACCAGCCAAGUAGCGUGCAGGAUGAACCUGCCCUAUGGGCUGUAAACUGCUUUUAUACGGGGAUAAAGUCAGAGUCGUGACUCUGUUUGCAGGUACUGUAUGAAUAAGGACCGGCUAAUUCCGUGCCAGCCGCAGC